GCUAGGCAGGGGGGCAUGCACCUGUAGUCCCAGCUGCUUGGGAGGCUGAGGUGUGAGGAUUCCUUGAGCCCAGGAGUUGAGAACAGCCUGGGCACCAUGGUGAGUUCCUGUCUCAA
rnacentral:sRNA from 1 species